CCUACGGGUGGCAGCAGUGAGGAAUAUUGGUCAAUGGACGCAACUCUGAACCAGCCAAGUAGCGUGCAGGAUGACGGCCCUCCGGGUUGUAAACUGCUUUUAUUUGGGGAUAAACUGAGGCUCGUGUGCCUCGUUUUGUAUGUCGCAUCAGAAAAAGGACCGUCUAAUUCCGUGCCAGCAGCCGCGGUUAUGCGGAAGGUCCGGGCGUUAUCCGGUUUUUUUGGGUUUAAAGGGAGCGUAGGCCGGCUUUUAAGUCAGCGGUGAAUGGCCGCGGCUCAACCGUGGAAUUGCAGUUGAAACUGGGGGCCUGGAGUGCACAGAGGGAAGCCGGAAUUCAUGGUGUAGCGGUGAAAUGCUUAGAUAUCAUGAAGAACUCCGAUCGCGAAGGCAGGUGACCGGGGUGCAACUGACGCUGAGGCUCGAAAGUGCGGGUAUCGAACAGGAUUAGAUACCCCUGUAGUC
rnacentral:rRNA from 1 species